rnacentral:rRNA from 1 species
UACGUAGGGGCAAGCGUUGUCCGGAUUUAUUGGGCGUAAAGAGCGUGUAGGCGGCCAGGCAGGUCCGCUGUGAAAACUCGAGGCUCAACCUCGAGAGGUCGGUGGAAACCGUCUGGCUAGAGUCCGGAAGAGGAGAGUGGAAUUCCCGGUGUAGCGGUGAAAUGCGCAGAUAUCGGGAAGAACACCCGUGGCGAAGGCGGCUCUCUGGGACGGUACUGACGCUGAGACGCGAAAGCGUGGGGAGCGAACAGG